GAAGGAAAAAGAAAACUUAGCAGAACCAUCAAAAUAUGAAUGAACGUGAAACUCACUUGCGGCUUCUCUAAGGCGUUUCUCGGUGACUUCUAACAUAAGCGAUUCCCAUCGACGCGAUUCUCAUGGAAUAACAACAUUCACUCGGAGAAAGGUCACGCAAUAACAACACUCAUUACAUUUAUAUAGAGUUCACGUAAUAACUACAUCAAAAUCAACUCAACUCUCAAUCGGUUUACGGUUCAGUGACGACAUGUUUCGGUUCAGAAGUUUGUGC
rnacentral:lncRNA from 1 species